GAAGAUAUAGCUUAGUGGUAGAGCACUCGCCUAGCAUGUGUGAGUUCCUGGGUUCAAUCCCAGCCUCA
rnacentral:tRNA from 1 species